UUAAGGUGGGCACUCUAGGAUGACUGCCGGUGACAAACCGGAGGAAGGUGGGGAUGACGUCAAAUCAUCAUGCCCCUUAUGACCUGGGCUACACACGUACUACAAUGGCCGAUACAACGGGAAGCGAAACCGCGAGGUGGAGCCAAUCCUAUCAAAGUCGGUCUCAGUUCGGAUUGCAGGCUGCAACUCGCCUGCAUGAAGUCGGAAUUGCUAGUAAUCGCGGAUCAGCAUGCCGCGGUGAAUACGUUCCCGGGUCUUGUACACACCGCCCGUCACACCACGAGAGUUUACAACACCCGAAGCCGGUGGGGUAACCGCAAGGAGC
rnacentral:rRNA from 1 species